rnacentral:lncRNA from 1 species
AGGAAAUUGCCAUCUGCCUCCCGUACUGUCAGAGGCUUGGAAGAGUGUGCUAGACGAGAGCUGCUGCAGAGACAGCCCCCAGGAAACACUGCACCCCUCUCCGGCUAACACAUGGACCUUGGGAGCAUGCUUCCUUGCGUGGAUGAAACAGUCCCAACGAACACUUUAAAAAGACAAAUGUUCCCGACAGCACUGGUUGAAUUCAAAACUCGGCAGAUCCAUGUUCUUAUCCUUAGACAAGAGAGGGGCCAUAACAAGAUGGAAUGACGGAACAGACGUGAGAGAUGAUGGUACAGUGACUCGGGUAACCCCAGAAAAGGGACAGCUCUUCUACAGCUCAGUGGGGACAGGGACAAAAAGAAACAAUUUCAUUUCAGUCCACCCAGAGGGUCUGCACUUCUCGGAGCCAGAAGGUGGAGAAGAGUAGGGAUGGAGGAAGUUCGAAGUUUUAGGAGUCUGCUCUUGGGUCCCUAGGCAUGAGGACAAGCUUUUCCUGUACUCAAUGCUCAUCUCUCAGUUGUGCCCACAUUGGUACACAUUACUUGCUUUCAACUGCUGCUGCUGCUGUUUCCUAAUUCAAUAAAGAUAUGGCUGGCUCAGCAGAGA